CUGGACUGGGGGUAGCAGCAGAGGGGCGGCCAGCCUUGGGGAGCCGGCGGGAUCCAGAGCGGGGCUCCUCUCCGCACUUUGUAGCUGCGUUGCUCCGCUCCAUGCCCUGCCUCAGCCACUCCUCCUGGUUACCAGGCAAAAGGAAACACCUUGAGCUGGCCAGGAGCUACCAGCGUCUGUCUACACCUGGGAGUUCAGUGGCAUGACCAGGGCUCACUGCAACCUUGAUCUGGGCUCAAGUGAUCCUCCUACCUCAGCUUCCUGAGUAGCUAGGACCACAGGUGUGCACCAACCACACCCGACUAAUUUUUGUAGAGAUGAGAUCCCACUAUGUUACCCAGGCUGGUCUUGAACUCCUGGGCUCAGGUGAUCAUCCUGCCUUGGCUUCCCAAAGUACUGGGAUUAUAGGCUUGAGCCACCGUGCCUGGCCUGUGAUCAGAAUUCUCAUUUUUUUAGUCACUAAAAAUGCUGGGGGGCACUCCAUUCUCCAUUAUGUGAUUAGUUCACAUUGCAUGCUUGUAUCAAAACAUCAUAUAUACCCCACAAAUAUAUACAAAAAACUUUAAAAUUUUAAGUAUUAAUUGCUCAGGAAAAAAUUAAAAUGCUGGGGUGCUGAAAUCUCAAGGGCCCCAUUACAAAACUCCUUAGGAACCUCGCCCUCUCUCUGCUGUAAGGACUGGUUCCAGAAUGAGAGAAUUUAAAAGACAUUCCCCCCCCAAAAUGUUCAUAAUGUCACCCCGGAAACCUGCGAAUAUGUUAUAUUACAUGACCAGGGAGAAGUAAGGUUGCAGAUGGCAGUAAGGUUGCUAAUGGGCUGACCUUAAGAUAAGGAGAUGAUCCUGGAUUAUCUGGGUGGACCCAAUGUAAUCACAAGGGUCCUUAACUGUGGAAUAGUGAGGUGGCUGAGUCAGAGGCAGAGUGAUGCAAUGACUGAAAGACUUAACCAGCCAUCACCGGCUUUGAAUACGGAAGACGGUCAUGAGCCAGGGAAUGCAGGCAGGCUCUGGGAGCUGAAAAAAGCAAGAAAAUGGAUUCUCCCCUGGAGCCUCCAGAAGGGAUGCGGUCCUGCCAACCCCUUGUCAGUGAGCCAUUUCAGAUUUCUGACUUCCAGGACUGUAAGAAAAUAAACUUGUCUUGUUUUCAGCCACCA
rnacentral:lncRNA from 1 species